GUUGCAGGGUAUAGACCCGAAACCCGGUGAUCUAGCCAUGGGCAGGUUGAAGGUUGGGUAACACUAACUGGAGGACCGAACCGACUAAUGUUGAAAAAUUAGCGGAUGACCUGUGGCUGGGGGUGAAAGGCCAAUCAAACCGGGAGAUAGCUGGUUCUCCCCGAAAGCUAUUUAGGUAGCGCCUCGUGAAUUCAUCUCCGGGGGUAGAGCACUGUUUCGGCUAGGGGGCCAUCCCGGCUUACCAACCCGAUGCAAACUGCGAAUACCGGAGAAUGUUAUCACGGGAGACACACGGCGGGUGCUAACGUCCGUCGUGAAGAGGGAAACAACCCAGACCGCCAGCUAAGGUCCCAAAGUCAUGGUUAAGUGGGAAACGAUGUGGGAAGGCCCAGACAGCCAGGAUGUUGGCUUAGAAGCAGCCAUCAUUUAAAGAAAGCGUAAUAGCUCACUGGUCGAGUCGGCCUGCGCGGAAGAUGUAACGGGGCUAAACCAUGCACCGAAGCUGCGGCAGCGAACGUAUCACCCAAGACAACUUUACGGAGUUGACGAUUGACGGAGCGAAGCGACGUCAAAGCGUUCAUUAAAGUCGAGUUGGCUUAGGGAUACGUUCGUUGGGUAGGGGAGCGUUCUGUAAGCCUGUGAAGGUGGCCUGUGAGGGUUGCUGGAGGUAUCAGAAGUGCGAAUG
rnacentral:rRNA from 1 species